UGGGGAAUUUUGGGCAAUGGGCGAAAGCCUGACCCAGCAACGCCGCGUGAAGGAUGAAGUAUUUCGGUAUGUAAACUUCGAAAGAAUAGGAAGAAUAAAUGACGGUACUAUUUAUAAGCUCCGGCUAACUACGUGCCAGCAGCCGCGGUAAUACGUAGGGAGCAAGCGUUGUUCGGAUUUACUGGGCGUAAAGGGCGCGUAGGCGGCGCGGUAAGUCACUUGUGAAAUCUCUGAGCUUAACUCAGAACGGCCAAGUGAUACUGCAGUGCUAGAGUGCAGAAGGGGCAAUCGGAAUUCUUGGUGUAGCGGUGAAAUGCGUAGAUAUCAAGAGGAACACCUGAGGUGAAGACGGGUUGCUGGGCUGACACUGACGCUGAGGCGCGAAAGCUAGGGGAGCAAACGGGAUUAGAUACCCCAGUAGUCCCUGAGCGGGCUGGCAAGGCGCAU
rnacentral:rRNA from 1 species